rnacentral:sRNA from 1 species
UCCAAACAUGGCGGCUCCACUAGGGGGUAUGUUUUCUGGGCAGCCACCCGGUCCCCCUCAGGCCCCGCCGGGCCUUCCGGGCCAAGCUUCGCUUCUUCAGGCAGCUCCAGGCGCUCCUAGACCUUCCAGCAGUACUUUGGUGGACGAGUUGGAGUCAUCUUUCGAGGCUUGCUUUGCGUCUCUGGUGAGUCAGGACUAUGUCAAUGGCACCGAUCAGGAAGAAAUUCGAACCGGUAAGCAUUCCCUCUGUGUACACAAUGUUCUGGGCUUCAGCAGUAUUUCCUAGUUGCUAAUUUUAUACUUCAUGUGUUUCAGUCCUGCUUUUAUCCUAAGAGAACAUUUCAGGG